ACCAGGCAUGGUAGUGAGUGCUUGUAGUCCCAGCUACCCGGGAGGCUGAGGUGGGAGGAUCACUUGAGUCCAGGAGUUCUGGGCUGUAGUGUGCUAUGCCGAUCAGGUGUCUGCACUAAGUUCAGCAUCAAUAUGGUGACCUUCCAGGAGCAGGGGACCACCAGGUUGCCUAAGGAGGGGUGAACCGGCCCAGGUCAGAAAUGGAGCAGGUCAAAACUCCCGUGCUGAUCAGUAGUGGGAUUGCUCCUGUGAAUAUCCACUGCACACCAGCCUGGGCAACACAGCAAGACCCCAUCUCU
rnacentral:SRP_RNA from 1 species